GACGAACGCUGGCGGCGUGCCUAACACAUGCAAGUCGAGCGGAGUCGAUCGACGGAAGCCUUCGGGCGGAAGAUGGUUGACUUAGCGGCGGAUGGGUGAGUAACGCGUGGGCAACCUGCCUCGAAGACCGGGAUAACAGUCCGAAAGGGCUGCUAAUACCGGAUGUGGUCAAGGAUCCGCAUGGAUUUUUGAUUAAAGGGGAAACCCGUUUCGAGAUGGGCCCGCGUCCUAUCAGCUAGUUGGUGAGGUAAAAGCUCACCAAGGCGACGACGGGUAGCCGGCCUGAGAGGGUGACCGGCCACACUGGAACUGAGACACGGUCCAGACUCCUACGGGGGGCAGCAGUGGGGAAUCUUCCACAAUGGGCGAAAGCCUGAUGGAGCGACGCCGCGUGAGCGAAGAAGGCCUCGGUUGUAAAGCUCUGUCCGGAGGGACGAAGGAAGUGACGGUACCUCCGGAGGAAGCCACGGCUAACUACGUG
rnacentral:rRNA from 1 species